rnacentral:rRNA from 1 species
UGUCUGGGAAACUGACUGAUGGAGGGGGAUAACUACUGGAAACGGUAGCUAAUACCGCAUAACGUCGCAAGACCAAAGAGGGGGACCUUCGGGCCUCUUGCCAUCAGAUGAGCCCAGAUGGGAUUAGCUAGAAAGUGGGGUAAAGGAUCACCUAGGCGACGAUCCCUAGCUGGUCUGAGAGGAUGACCAGACACACUGGAACUGAGACACGGUCCAAACUCCUACGGGAGGCAGCAGUGGGGAAUAUUGCACAAUGGGCGCAAGCCUGAUGCAGCCAUGCCGCGUGUAUGAAGAAGGCCUUCGGGUUGUAAAGAACUUUCAGCGAGGAGGAAGGAAGUAAAAUUAAUACCUUAAAACAUUGACGUUACACGCAAAAAAAGCACCGGCUAACUCCGUGCCAACAACCGCGGUAAUACGGAGGGUGCAAGCGAUAAUCAGAAUUACUGGGCGUAAAGCGCACGCAGGCGGUUUGUUAAGUCAGAUGUGAAAUCCCCGGGCUCAACCUGGGAACUGAAUAUGAUACUGGCAAGCUAGAGUCUCGAAAAGGGGGGUAAAAUUCCAAGUGUAGCGGUGAAAUGCGUAGAGAUCAGGAAGAAUACCGGUGGCGAAGGCGGACCCCUGGACGAAAACUGACGCUCAAGUGCGAAAGCGUGGGGAGCAAACAGGAUUAGAUACCCUGGAAAUCCACGCAGAAAACGAUGUCAAAUUGGAGGAUGUGCCAUGAAGCGUGGAUUCCGGAAAUAACGCGUAAAAAAAACAACCUGGGGAAAACAGACGAAAGGUUAAAACUCAAAUGAAUUGACGGGGGGACCGCACAA